rnacentral:rRNA from 1 species
UACGUAGGGUGCAAGCGUUAAUCGGAAUUACUGGGCGUAAAGCGUGCGCAGGCGGUUAUGCAAGACAGAGGUGAAAUCCCCGGGCUCAACCUGGGAACUGCCUUUGUGACUGCAUCGCUGGAGUGCGGCAGAGGGGGAUGGAAUUCCGCGUGUAGCAGUGAAAUGCGUAGAUAUCGGGAGGAACACCAGUGGCGAAGGCGACUACCUGGCCUGUUCUUGACGCUGAGGCGCGAAAGCUAGGGGAGCAAACGGG